GGAUCCUUGCUUGAGCAACGACGUCCUCCCUUUCAUGUCUCUCCUUUCUUUGUGCUAGUGCUUCUCAAGCCUAGGCUGUUUGUUGGUUUCUUGUGUUGCAUACCCAUUGUGUGGCAUUUUUUGUCCCAAUACGUCACUUGUUCGUUAUGCGAAGCACCGUCUGUGCGUGUGCAGAUCGCUGAUGAACCGAAAAGCACUCAUUGCGGUCCGCAUUAGCCAUGUUAAUCCAUGUGCUGAUAUCGGCCCGUGAUGGAAUGCUUGUGCUCAUGGAUUUGGAAUAUGCUUAGGGUACGGGGCGUUGUCCCCUUCCUGCCCAAUAUUCAGCGUUCACCGCUAACUAGCGAACGACCGUCGUGCUUGAUUUGAGCUAGCCAACUCUAUGAGUUGUGCCACGCGCUAUCAACAUUGACGUCGAUGAGGA
rnacentral:misc_RNA from 1 species